AGUGAACGCUGGCGGUAGGCCUAACACAUGCAAGUCGAACGGCAGCACAGUAAGAGCUUGCUCUUACGGGUGGCGAGUGGCGGACGGGUGAGGAAUACAUCGGAAUCUUCUUUUUCGUGGGGGAUAACGUAGGGAAACUUACGCUAAUACCGCAUACGACCUACGGGUGAAAGCAGGGGAUCUUCGGACCUUGCGCGAUUGAAUGAGCCGAUGUCGGAUUAGCUAGUUGGCGGGGUAAAGGCCCACCAAGGCGACGAUCCGUAGCUGGUCUGAGAGGAUGAUCAGCCACACUGGAACUGAGACACGGUCCAGACUCCUACGGGAGGCAGCAGUGGGGAAUAUUGGGCAAUGGGCGCAAGCCUGAUCCAGCCAUACCGCGUGGGUGAAGAAGGCCUUCGGGUUGUAAAGCCCUUUUGUUGGGAAAGAAAAGCAGCAGGUUAAUACCCCGCUGUUCUGACGGUACCCAAAGAAUAAGCACCGGCUAACUUCGUG
rnacentral:rRNA from 1 species